rnacentral:lncRNA from 1 species
UUGUGUUUAAUUCUAAGUUUAGGGUAGCUCCAUAAGAAACUGGGAGUAAUGUGAGUGCGUAGAAAAUAAGAAAAACGACCAUAAAAAAAGGAAACAAAAGAAAGAGAAAAGAAAAGAGAAAAUCGAUAGAACAAAGAAAAGCACUCACCAAAUGAAAAGCACUCAGUAGGGUACAAAACCAAAAACAAAAAGAACAGACAAACUAAGGUUAAAAAGAAAAGAAAUGUCAAUGGUAUGUUAGAACAAACACAGUGAAAAGAAUAAUAACAUUUAUAGCGGUAAAAAGCUAUGAAUAAACUUGACAUCAAUAAAACCAGAGUCGCCAUCAUGCUUUUAUUAUUUCAAAAGAAAAAGGGAAAAGUAAGAACAAAAC